ensembl:snRNA LOC120097303 U6 spliceosomal RNA
GCGCUCACUUCGGCAGCACAUACACUAAAGUUGGAACGACACAGAGAAGAUUAGCAUGGCCCCUGUGCAAGGAUGACACGCAGAUUCGUGAAGCGUUCCAUAUUUUA